UGCCAGCCGCCGCGGUAAUACGGAGGGUGCGAGCGUUAAUCGGAAUUACUGGGCGUAAAGCGCACGCAGGCGGUUUGUUAAGCUAGAUGUGAAAGCCCCGGGCCCAACCUGGGAUGGUCAUUUAGAACUGGCAGACUAGAGUCUUGGAGAGGGAGAGGCGGAAUUCCAGGUGUAGUGGUGAAAUACGUAGAUAUCUGGAAGAACACCAGAGGCGAAGGCGGUCUCUUGGUCCGAAACUGACGCUGAGGUGCGAAAGCGUGGGGAGCAAACAGGAUUAGAUA
rnacentral:rRNA from 1 species